rnacentral:rRNA from 1 species
UACGUAGGGUGCGAGCGUUGUCCGGAAUUAUUGGGCGUAAAGAGCUUGUAGGCGGUUUGUCGCGUCUGCUGUGAAAAUCCGGGGCUCAACCCCGGACUUGCAGUGGGUACGGGCAGACUAGAGUGUGGUAGGGGAGACUGGAAUUCCUGGUGUAGCGGUGAAAUGCGCAGAGAUCAGGAGGAACACCCGUAGCGAAGGCGGCACUCUGGGCCGAUACUGACACUGAGGAGCGAAAGCGUGGGGAGCGAACAGG